rnacentral:tRNA from 1 species
GAGAUAACAAAAGAAAAGCUUCUAACUUAUUCAUAUAGCAGUUAAACCUGUUAUUAUCUCU